UGGCGAUGAAGCAGAGGACUGGUUCGGCAUCAGCCUGUUGUGAAGCUAAACCGUGGGUUAAGCGAAAACCACAAGCCGAAUACAUUCACUUGAAUCGAACAAAAACGCAAAAU
rnacentral:sRNA from 12 species